rnacentral:rRNA from 1 species
CUCCUACGGGAGGCAGCAGUGGGGAAUAUUGGACAAUGGGGGGAACCCUGAUCCAGCCAUGCCGCGUGUGUGAAGAAGGCCUUUUGGUUGUAAAGCACUUUAAGCAGUGAAGAAGAAGUUAUGGUUAAUACCCAUAAUGGAUGACAUUAGCUGCAGAAUAAGCACCGGCUAACUCUGUGCCAGCAGCCGCGGAAU